rnacentral:rRNA from 1 species
UGAGCAACACGUAUCCAACCUGCCGUCUACUCUUGGCCAGCCUUCUGAAAGGAAGAUUAAUCCAGGAUGGCAUCAUGAGUUCACAUGUCCGCAUGAUUAAAGGUAUUUUCCGGUAGACGAUGGGGAUGCGUUCCAUUAGAUAGUAGGCGGGGUAACGGCCCACCUAGUCAACGAUGGAUAGGGGUUCUGAGAGGAAGGUCCCCCACAUUGGAACUGAGACACGGUCCAA